GUGCCAGCAGCCGCGGUAAUACGGGGGGGGCAAGCGUUGUUCGGAAUUACUGGGCGUAAAGGGUUCGUAGGUGGCCAACUAAGUCAGACGUGAAAUCCCUCAGCUUAACUGGGGAACUGCGUCUGAUACUGAUUGGCUUGAGUGCAGGAGAGGAACGCGGAAUUCCAGGUGUAGCGGUGAAAUGCGUAGAUAUCUGGAGGAACACCGGUGGCGAAGGCGGCGUUCUGGACUGCAACUGACACUGAGGAACGAAAGCCAGGGGAGCAAACGGGAUUAGAAACCCUUGUAGUCC
rnacentral:rRNA from 1 species